GUGGGGAAUCUUCCGCAAUGGACGAAAGUCUGACGGAGCAACGCCGCGUGAACGAUGACGGCCUUCGGGUUGUAAAGUUCUGUUAUACGGGACGAAUGGCGUAGCGGUCAAUACCCGUUACGAGUGACGGUACCGUAAGAGAAAGCCACGGCUAACUACGUGCCAGCAGCCGCGGUAAUACGUAGGUGGCAAGCGUUGUCCGGAAUUAUUGGGCGUAAAGGGCGCGCAGGCGGCGUCGUAAGUCGGUCUUAAAAGGGCGGGGCUUAACCCCGUGAGGGGACCGAAACUGCGAUGCUAGAGUAUCGGAGAGGAAAGCGGAAUUCCUAGUGUAGCGGUGAAAUGCGUAGAUAUUAGGAGGAACACCAGUGGCGAAAGCGGCUUUCUGGACGACAACUGACGCUGAGGCGCGAAAGCCAGGGGAGCAAACGGGAUUAGAAACCCCUGUAGUCC
rnacentral:rRNA from 1 species